rnacentral:lncRNA from 1 species
AUAAUUCUAUUGUGGUGAAAUUAAUAACAAAAAAUGAUUGUGGAAUUGGGAGGAGAUGAAUAAGAUAAGAACAGUUUGAUAUUGUGCAUUGUACAUUUCACUGAUUAAGGAGUUACAGGUUCACGAUUCAACUCGAAGGGAGAUCACAGUCAGCCAGAACAGCUAAAGCUCUCUAGUGUUGUUACUUCUCAGUCUACAAUAGAUUUAUUAGGUACACAAAUAUACUCAGAUGCAGCUUGGUCGUUGGAGCCCGGACAAGCUGUAGCAAAGGCCGACAUAGGUGUUUUCUUACAAAUUAACAGGCAACAUACCGAACAUGUAUACAUCUCUGUUGUGUCGCCACCAGUAGCAUCAGCUCUGCAGGUAGAAGCUUAUGGACUGCUGUUGGCGGUGAAGAUUGCAGCUCAACUACAUGUGCAGGAUCUGAAGUUUUGACAGACUCUGCCGUGCUUGCCUCAGCUGUUGUAGAACCUGGUGUUACUAAAGCAGGCCCGUGGGCUAUCCGGCCAAUCUUAGCUGCUAUCCAGACCACGCCUUCAUUUCAUCCAUGCAGAAUAAUCAAAGUGCAAAGGAGUCUGAAUUUCAGGGCACACCAUCAGGCUAGACUCGCUGUCAAAGUGCAAGAUAAACCUGGCAGCUCUACUUGCCUACAUUCAAAUCAAGGUUUAGAUACUAAUCUGGAACGAUGUCCUACCUGUAAUGAGAUAUCAGCAAUGAGUGCUCAGCCACUCGAGCUGCUAUUUGUAAAGUGUGCUUAAUGCCAUAUUAAUAAAAUCCUUCUGUUAAAAAAAUCAAACUUAAUUAGUGUGCCUAACUUUCAGGUUAGUGUGUGGUUACAAAUAUUCCAACUACGUAGCUGACCGUGAGUAUGAUACUCUUUGACUUCUCCAGUAUAGACUAAUUAAUAGUACAAUAAUCUUUGCAUGAUGCAAACGUAUAGAACUCCUUAAUACAAAAAGAUUAGAUAAUCCCUAUUAAUUUACCAUGUUAGCACUUACAAAACCUAUCCUGUAUUGCUUGUCGCUGGCAGCACC